GAUGAACGCUGGCGGCGUGCCUAACACAUGCAAGUCGAACGGUGAAGCAGAGCUUGCUCUGUGGAUCAGUGGCGAACGGGUGAGUAACACGUGAGCAACCUGCCCCUGACUCUGGGAUAAGCGCUGGAAACGGCGUCUAAUACUGGAUAUGAGCUGCGACCGCAUGGUCAGCAGUUGGAAAGAUUUUUCGGUCUGGGAUGGGCUCACGGCCUAUCAGCUUGUUGGUGAGGUAAUGGCUCACCAAGGCGUCGACGGGUAGCCGACCUGAGAGGGUGACCGGCCACACUGGGACUGAGACACGGCCCAGACUCCUACGGGAGGCAGCAGUGGGGAAUAUUGCACAAUGGGCGAAAGCCUGAUGCAGCAACGCCGCGUGAGGGAUGACGGCCUUCGGGUUGUAAACCUCUUUUAGCAGGGAAGAAGCGAAAGCGACGGUACCUGCAGAAAAAGCGCCGGCUAACUACGUG
rnacentral:rRNA from 1 species